rnacentral:rRNA from 1 species
CCUACGGGGAGCAGUAGUCGAGAAUCAUUCACAAUGGGGGAAACCCUGAUGGUGCGACGCCGCGUGGGGGAAUGAAGGUCUUCGGAUUGUAAACCCCUGUCAUGUGGGCGCAAAUUAAAAAGAUAGUACCACAAGAGGAAGCGACGGCUAACUCUGUGCCAGCAGCCGCGGUAAUACAGAGGUCUCAAGCGUUGUUCGGAAUCACUGGGCGUAAAGCGUGCGUAGGCUGUUUCGUAAGUCGUGUGUGAAAGGCGCGGGCUCAACCCGCGGACGGCACAUGAUACUGCGAGACUAGAGUAAUGGAGGGGGAACCGGAAUUCUCGGUGUAGCAGUGAAAUGCGGAGAUAUCGAGAGGAACACUCGUGGCGAAGGCGGGUUCCUGGACAUUAACUGACGCUGAGGCACGAAGGCCAGGGGAGCGAAAGGGAUUAGAUACCCGGGUAGUC